GAGUAGUCAGUGUGUUAAUUUCUCUUUACGUAUAGGGCCUAAUCUUCGUAGACGUUAAAUUGAAGAAAUAGAUGAACCAAUGCUUAUCCUUCUAAACACCUACAUUGAUAUCUUCUGAUGAUAUCCUGUGUGUGAAAUGUUUUGUAUUAUUACAAAACCAGACAGCAUCUAACUCAAAUCUGUCACUUGUAUCCCCUGCUCGUGGACACCUAAACAUAUGCUACGCAUGUGGCUUGUCAACAGCAAGUCGCAGAACUCAUAGAGUCAGUCAAGAUAGUUCCUCAAAGGAAUGUUAUACUAAGAUGGACACCAGUACAUCACGUGUUGCAUUUGGAACGAGUUUGUGUUCCUUGUUGGGCGGCUGCAUCAAGACAAGUCCGGAGGCAACCCGUUGCUGGCAGUAGCCAACACACUGUGGAGUCUGCACCGGAGACUGGUAUCAUGGAUGGAAACAUAAUUACAGAUAUGAUGAUUCCUGUACCACCACCACUGCCACCGCUUUAAUGAUAUAAGCGCUCCAGCACAAUUUCUAGACAACAUAUUCCUUGAAGAAUAAAUAUCUAUUAUUUUAA